rnacentral:rRNA from 1 species
CUUAGGUCCUAAUUACCGAUCCCACCUUCGACGGCUCCCUCCACAAGGGUUAGGCCACCGGCUUCAGGUGUUACCGACUUUCAUGACUUGACGGGCGGUGUGUACAAGACCCGGGAACGUAUUCACCGCAGCGUUGCUGAUCUGCGAUUACUAGCGACUCCGACUUCAUGAGGUCGAGUUGCAGACCUCAAUCCGAACUGGGACCGGCUUUUUGGGAUUCGCUCCACCUCGCGGUAUUGCAGCCCUUUGUACCGGCCAUUGUAGCAUGCGUGAAGCCCAAGACAUAAGGGGCAUGAUGAUUUGACGUCAUCCCCACCUUCCUCCGAGUUGACCCCGGCAGUAUCCCAUGAGUUCCCACCAUUACGUGCUGGCAACAUAGAACGAGGGUUGCGCUCGUUGCGGGACUUAACCCAACAUCUCACGACACGAGCUGACGACAACCAUGCACCACCUGUUUACGAGUGUCCAAAGAGUUGACCAUUUCUGGCCCGUUCUCGUAUAUGUCAAGCCUUGGUAAGGUUCUUCGCGUUGCAUCGAAUUAAUCCGCAUGCUCCGCCGCUUGUGCGGGUCCCCGUCAAUUCCUUUGAGUUUUAGCCUUGCGGCCGUACUCCCCAGGCGGGGAACUUAAUGCGUUAGCUGCGUCACGGAAUCCGUGGAAUGGACCCCACAACUAGUUCCCAACGUUUACGGGGUGGACUACCAGGGUAUCUAAGCCUGUUUGCUCCCCACCCUUUCGCUCCUCAGCGUCAGUUACGGCCCAGAGAUCUGCCUUCGCCAUCGGUGUUCCUCCUGAUAUCUGCGCAUUCCACCGCUACACCAGGAAUUCCAAUCUCCCCUACCGCACUCUAGUCUGCCCGUACCCACUGCAGGCCGGAGGUUGAGCCUCCGGAUUUCACAGCAGACGCGACAAACCGCCUACGAGCUCUUUACGCCCAAUAAUUCCGGAUAACGCUUGCGCCCUACGUAUUACCGCGGCUGCUGGCACGUAGUUAGCCGGCGCUUUUUCUGCAGGUACCGUCACUUUCGCUUCUUCCCUGCUAAAGAGGUUUACAACCCGAAGCGU